rnacentral:rRNA from 1 species
UACGUAGGGUGCAAGCGUUAAUCGGAAUUACUGGGCGUAAAGCGUGCGCAGGCGGUGAUGUAAGACAGAUGUGAAAUCCCCGGGCUCAACCUGGGAACUGCAUUUGUGACUGCAUCGCUGGAGUGCGGCAGAGGGGGAUGGAAUUCCGCGUGUAGCAGUGAAAUGCGUAGAUAUGCGGAGGAACACCGAUGGCGAAGGCAAUCCCCUGGGCCUGCACUGACGCUCAUGCACGAAAGCGUGGGGAGCAAACAUG